rnacentral:misc_RNA from 1 species
CGUCAUUAUCAACCAUCAGCCCCGGGCUUGUCGUUGGGCUUUUGGUCGUACGACCAGCCCGAAAGAUAAUGGACGGGACCUGGUGGCCCUAGAUGCAACGAGCUUUUUACAGCACGCAUCGAACGGCCGGUAGCCUCGCCUUUAAAACACCAUUUUCUCAGGUUGACCUCGGAUCAGGUAGGAAUACCCGCUGAACUUAA